rnacentral:rRNA from 1 species
ACUAGAAGCCGAUGACGGACGUUACUAACGACGAUAUGCUUUGGGUAGCUGUAAGUAAGCGUUGAUCCAGAGAUUUCCGAAUGGGGGAACCCAGCAUGAGUUAUGUCAUGUUAUCGACAUGUGAAUUUAUAGCAUGUCAGAAGGCAGACCCGGAGAACUGAAACAUCUUAGUACCCGGAGGAAGAGAAAGAAAAAUCGAUUCCCUGAGUAGCGGCGAGCGAAACGGGAAGAGCCCAAACCAACAA